UUAAGCGACUAAGCGUACACGGUGGAUGCCCUGGCAGUCAGAGGCGAUGAAGGACGUGCUAAUCUGCGAUAAGCGUCGGUAAGGUGAUAUGAACCGUUAUAACCGGCGAUUUCCGAAUGGGGAAACCCAGUGUGAUUUGUCACACUAUCAUUAACUGAAUCCAUAGGUUAAUGAGGCGAACCGGGGGAACUGAAACAUCUAAGUACCCCGAGGAAAAGAAAUCAACCGAGAUUCCCCCAGUAGCGGCGAGCGAACGGGGAGGAGCCCAGAGCCUGAAUCAGUGUGUGUGUUAGUGGAAGCGUCUGGAAAGGCGCGCGAUACAGGGUGACAGCCCCGUACACAAAAAUGCACAUGCUGUGAGCUCGAUGAGUAGGGCGGGACACGUGGUAUCCUGUCUGAAUAUGGGGGACCAUCCUCCAAGGCUAAAUACUCCUGACUGACCGAUAGUGAACCAGUACCGUGAGGGAAAGGCGAAAAGAACCCCGGCGAGGGGAGUGAAAAAGAACCUGAAACCGUGUACGUACAAGCAGUGGGAGCCUCUUUAUGGGGUGACUGCGUACCUUUUGUAUAAUGGGUCAGCGACUUAUAUUCUGUAGCAAGGUUAACCGAAUAGGGGAGCCGAAGGGAAACCGAGUCUUAACUGGGCGUUAAGUUGCAGGGUAUAGACCCGAAACCCGGUGAUCUAGCCAUGGGCAGGUUGAAGGUUGGGUAACACUAACUGGAGGACCGAACCGACUAAUGUUGAAAAAUUAGCGGAUGACUUGUGGCUGGGGGUGAAAGGCCAAUCAAACCGGGAGAUAGCUGGUUCUCCCCGAAAGCUAUUUAGGUAGCGCCUCGUGAAUUCAUCUCCGGGGGUAGAGCACUGUUUCGGCAAGGGGGUCAUCCCGACUUACCAACCCGAUGCAAACUGCGAAUACCGGAGAAUGUUAUCACGGGAGACACACGGCGGGUGCUAACGUCCGUCGUGAAGAGGGAAACAACCCAGACCGCCAGCUAAGGUCCCAAAGUCAUGGUUAAGUGGGAAACGAUGUGGGAAGGCCCAGACAGCCAGGAUGUUGGCUUAGAAGCAGCCAUCAUUUAAAGAAAGCGUAAUAGCUCACUGGUCGAGUCGGCCUGCGCGGAAGAUGUAACGGGGCUAAACCAUGCACCGAAGCUGCGGCAGCGACACUAUGUGUUGUUGGGUAGGGGAGCGUUCUGUAAGCCUGUGAAGGUGGCCUGUGAGGGUUGCUGGAGGUAUCAGAAGUGCGAAUGCUGACAUAAGUAACGAUAAAGCGGGUGAAAAGCCCGCUCGCCGGAAGACCAAGGGUUCCUGUCCAACGUUAAUCGGGGCAGGGUGAGUCGACCCCUAAGGCGAGGCCGAAAGGCGUAGUCGAUGGGAAACAGGUUAAUAUUCCUGUACUUGGUGUUACUGCGAAGGGGGACGGAGAAGGCUAUGUUGGCCGGGCGACGGUUGUCCCGGUUUAAGCGUGUAGGCUGGUUUUCCAGGCAAAUCCGGAAAACUAAGGCUGAGGCGUGAUGACGAGGCACUACGGUGCUGAAGCAACAAAUGCCCUGCUUCCAGGAAAAGCCUCUAAGCAUCAGGUAACAUCAAAUCGUACCCCAAACCGACACAGGUGGUCAGGUAGAGAAUACCAAGGCGCUUGAGAGAACUCGGGUGAAGGAACUAGGCAAAAUGGUGCCGUAACUUCGGGAGAAGGCACGCUGAUAUGUAGGUGAAGCGACUUGCUCGUGGAGCUGAAAUCAGUCGAAGAUACCAGCUGGCUGCAACUGUUUAUUAAAAACACAGCACUGUGCAAACACGAAAGUGGAAGUAUACGGUGUGACGCCUGCCCGGUGCCGGAAGGUUAAUUGAUGGGGUUAGCGGUAACGCGAAGCUCUUGAUCGAAGCCCCGGUAAACGGCGGCCGUAACUAUAACGGUCCUAAGGUAGCGAAAUUCCUUGUCGGGUAAGUUCCGACCUGCACGAAUGGCGUAAUGAUGGCCAGGCUGUCUCCACCCGAGACUCAGUGAAAUUGAACUCGCUGUGAAGAUGCAGUGUACCCGCGGCAAGACGGAAAGACCCCGUGAACCUUUACUAUAGCUUGACACUGAACAUUGAGCCUUGAUGUGUAGGAUAGGUGGGAGGCUUUGAAGUGUGGACGCCAGUCUGCAUGGAGCCGGCCUUGAAAUACCACCCUUUAAUGUUUGAUGUUCUAACGUUGACCCGUGAUCCGGGUUGCGGACAGUGUCUGGUGGGUAGUUUGACUGGGGCGGUCUCCUCCUAAAGAGUAACGGAGGAGCACGAAGGUUGGCUAAUCCUGGUCGGACAUCAGGAGGUUAGUGCAAUGGCAUAAGCCAGCUUGACUGCGAGCGUGACGGCGCGAGCAGGUGCGAAAGCAGGUCAUAGUGAUCCGGUGGUUCUGAAUGGAAGGGCCAUCGCUCAACGGAUAAAAGGUACUCCGGGGAUAACAGGCUGAUACCGCCCAAGAGUUCAUAUCGACGGCGGUGUUUGGCACCUCGAUGUCGGCUCAUCACAUCCUGGGGCUGAAGUAGGUCCCAAGGGUAUGGCUGUUCGCCAUUUAAAGUGGUACGCGAGCUGGGUUUAGAACGUCGUGAGACAGUUCGGUCCCUAUCUGCCGUGGGCGCUGGAGAACUGAGGGGGGCUGCUCCUAGUACGAGAGGACCGGAGUGGACGCAUCACUGGUGUUCGGGUUGUCAUGCCAAUGGCACUGCCCGGUAGCUAAAUGCGGAAGAGAUAAGUGCUGAAAGCAUCUAAGCACGAAACUUGCCCCGAGAUGAGUUCUCCCUGACUCCUUGAGAGUCCUGAAGGAACGUUGAAGACGACGACGUUGAUAGGCCGGGUGUGUAAGCGCAGCGAUGCGUUGAGCUAACCGGUACUAAUGAACCGUGAGGCUUAACCUU
rnacentral:rRNA from 1 species